CGCCUUCAGAUUCAAUAUUGGAGGUCUGGUCUGCCCAGUGUAAUUAUUAACGGCCGCGGUAUUCUGACUGUGCAAAGGUAGCAUAAUCACUUGCCCUUUAAAUGGGGGAAUGUAUGAAUGAUUAGACGAGGUUUUUACUGUCUCUUCCUUAUAAAUUGAGAUUACAAUACUUGUGAAAAUGCGGGUAAGGUAAUAAAGGACGAGAAGACCCUGUUGAGCUUUUAAGCUAAACUAUAGUAUAGGUUAAGUUAAGUAAUAAUUUACAAUUAAAACGAGUAAUUUUUUGUAGGCUUUUUGGCUGGGGUGGCAAGCAAAGAUAUUAAGCUUUGUUGUAGUAUACAUUUUGUAUUUCUAGAUAAUAUGUAUCUAUAAAUAAUUAAAUUGAUCCGUUAAAAUAGAACGAUUAAAAGAAUAAGUUACCACAGGGAUAACAGCGUAAUUCUUUUUGAGAGCUCGAAUUGACAAAGGAGUUUGCGACCUCGAUGUUGGAUCAAGAUUCCUAGCGGUGUAGCAGCUGUUACGGGUUUGCCUGUUCGGCGAUUAAUAUCU
rnacentral:rRNA from 1 species